rnacentral:tRNA from 1 species
CCUUCGAUAGCUCAGUUGGAAGAGCGCGGGACUGUAACAGGUUAACUUGGUAUCCCGAGGUCACUGGAUCGACGCCGGUUCGAAGGA